GAUGAAGAACGCAGCGAAAUGCGAUAAGUAAUGCGAAUUGCAGAAUUCAGUGAGUCAUCGAAUCUUUGAACGCACAUUGCGCCCCUUGGUAUUCCGAGGGGCAUGCCUGUUCGAGCGUCAUUAUAACCCCUCAAGCUCAGCUUGGUGUUGGGGCCUGCUGCACUGGCAGCCCUUAAAAUCAGUGGCGGCGCCAUCUGGCUCUAAGCGUAGUAAUUCUUCUCGCUAUGGAGUCCUGGUGGAUGCUUGCCAUCAACCCCCAAUUUUUCUAUGGUUGACCUCGGAUCAGGUAGGGAUACCCGCUGAACUUAAGCAUAUCAAUAGCGGAGGA
rnacentral:misc_RNA from 1 species